UGCAGUCGAGCGAUGGAUUGAGAGCUUGCUCUCAAGAAGUUAGCGGCGGACGGGUGAGUAACACGUGGGUAACCUGCCCAUAAGACUGGGAUAACUCCGGGAAACCGGGGCUAAUACCGGAUAAUAUUUUGAACUGCAUGGUUCGAAAUUGAAAGGCGGCUUCGGCUGUCACUUAUGGAUGGACCCGCGUCGCAUUAGCUAGUUGGUGAGGUAACGGCUCACCAAGGCAACGAUGCGUAGCCGACCUGAGAGGGUGAUCGGCCACACUGGGACUGAGACACGGCCCAGACUCCUACGGGAGGCAGCAGUAGGGAAUCUUCCGCAAUGGACGAAAGUCUGACGGAGCAACGCCGCGUGAGUGAUGAAGGCUUUCGGGUCGUAAAACUCUGUUGUUAGGGAAGAACAAGUGCUAGUUGAAUAAGCUGGCACCUUGACGGUACCUAACCAGAAAGCCACGGCUAACUACGUGCCAGCAGCCGCGGUAAUACGUAGGUGGCAAGCGUUAUCCGGAAUUAUUGGGCGUAAAGCGCGCGCAGGUGGUUUCUUAAGUCUGAUGUGAAAGCCCACGGCUCAACCGUGGAGGGUCAUUGGAAACUGGGAGACUUGAGUGCAGAAGAGGAAAGUGGAAUUCCAUGUGUAGCGGUGAAAUGCGUAGAGAUAUGGAGGAACACCAGUGGCGAAGGCGACUUUCUGGU
rnacentral:rRNA from 2 species